AGUCCUGACAAGAUCCAAAGAGUGUAUGGAAGGAACUAUGCCUCACCAAGCUCUGCUCUUGGUUCUAGCUAUCCUGCUGGCCUACUGACCCCAGUGGGGGUUAGUUCAGGAGGUCCAAUGACCUGUCCACACUAUUUGCAACAUGGACAUACUGCAGAUAUUCUAUCACAGCUGUGACCCUUUACAGGACAUUGGCAUCAUUGUUAACACAUGCCUUCCCAUGCCACCAUCCUACAAGGGCAAUGUGAGAGUGUCACUUCUGCUUUGGUCAACAGGAUGUGCAUGUUGUUUUGGUGAUCCAAUACGGUUACCACAUUGCCUGCUUCGAUGUCACUUUCAUAAAAGAUAGGGGAGACAAAGGUUUAAUAUGAAUUAGAUUACAUGAGGGAUGAGAGGAGAAUAAUAAAUCAAUUUGGCCAUAUUUGGUCAAUAGUUUUAGGAUAGUGUGGUGAAUGCCACUGAAAUAACGAACAAUGUACUGAGAUAUUAGCUGUGUUUGCAAUACUUUAGAUAUGUCAUUCUAUAAACAUAUAGAAUUUUUGGACACAAAUUAAGCCUAGUAUUAGAUUUAAAACUACUUUGAAUGAAGAAUCUCUCUUAAACAUGCUUCUUCUUAGUCUAAAACUACGCUUAAUCUGUGUCUGGGAAACCGGCCCAUGUACAAAACGAAACCACGUACAAAACGAAACCACGUACAAAACGAAACCACGUACAAAACGAAACCACGUACAAAACGAAACCAUUUGAAUAAAACUGACCUGCAUCAUAAUUCAAAUGACAUUAAUUAGAAACCCAUGUUUUGUGAAAGUGAAUAAUGUCAGUCUAAAUACAGUUUGUUCAAGUAUACAUUCUUGUAAAUUAGUUAUUUCUUAUUUGCUCUGCAGGUUCUCUGAUUCCCUUGCUACAUAUUUCAACAAACAAAUUAGGUUUCUUAACGUUCUUCUGACUACUGAUGAUUCCAAAAUUAAACUCUUACUUAAAAUAAACACUUCAAAAGCAAACAUGUCCUCUGACUGAGUAGGCAUACAUCAGCAGUUUCCAGUCUGGUCCACUAGAGGGCCCACUCUUUUCAGUGUGAGACAGUACACAUAGAUAAUUCUCCAUGCCAAACGUGAGAUGUUCCUUGUUGGUUUUAUUGUUGACAUCAUUUGUGAAUCCAUUACUGUAUCCUGUUACAUGAAUGUCACUGUGUUAUUUAUCAAUAAAGGUGCUCUGUGGUCGAAUUGGACAGUGAUGCUAUUUUAGCUGGAUGUUGAUACAUUGUUUCUUUUGGUGAUUGUACAUGUGAAUUUGGAUACAUUGUUAUAGGCAAUACAAUAUUAUUGUUUCCAUGUAUUCAACUUUUUAUUGUCUUUGUAGACUCAUUUUCUCUUUGUCAAAUGCUUCACUCACUGUGUGGACUUUCUAAGCAGAAGAUGGCUUGGGUCAUUAUCAGAGAAAGGAGUCUGUGUUUCAGUGCUAGGAGUCACUAA